rnacentral:lncRNA from 1 species
UUUUUUUUCCUCAGAUGCUCUGUCUGGGGGGGGGUUGGGGCUUUUCUUGUGAGUGUCCACCUCACUGUCCUGCCCAGCUAGGAGGCAGUCUAGUCACUUUUUGCCUGCUGAUGCUCCGCCCUGCUGGUGUGAGGUUCGCCCUUUUCCUGCAGGCUCCGCCCUUCUGCUGUGGUCUCUGCCCUGUUGCCUCGGGCUACGCCCUGCGGCGGAGUCUCUCUGUUGUACCGGGUUGCCUCGGCAGCGGCAGGCUGCGUCAGCAAUGGGCGUGUACCUCAGUAGGGGCUGAUUGCCUCGGUAAUGGCUGACGCCCCUCCCCCGCGGAGCUGCACUUUAAAAAAAAAACCUAUUCACCGGGAGCAUUUGGAAUCGCUGUUUUGUUUGUCGCACUGCGCUCCCCCAAACGCUGAGUCCCUGGGAUUUCCUGGGCUGGGUCACAGUUCAAGACCCGUUCAGUCUCAAGUUCAGCCCUCUCGGGUCUUAGUUUGCCAGUUCAACAGGGCACCCGUAACAGUGCGCUUUUGUAUGGAGUGCUGUGGAGCGCCUUUGCGCUCCAGCGCGGGCCGGAGCCGCACCGGCUGCCGGCUAGCCAGUGGAGACCUCUGCCUGGCGUCCCACGUCUCUUUUGUAUCUGGGAAUUUCCCCGUUCUGUGGGCAACUAAGAUCCGUCUGGAAAUGCUUCCCCGACUCACCCUCUCCGUGCAUCCAGCGAGAGCUUCAAUCCUGGGUUGUUCUCACAGCGCCAUCUUGAGUCCUCCCCCAAUAUUUCAGGAAGUCUCUUUUUAUUGCAGCUUUUAUUAUCUCCUUUCUGGAGAUAUACAUCAAUCUCUUAUGACCUGUGAGAUCAAAUGAUAGUGCUUGGGAAAAUUUUUCCAUCUCACCAACAGUUAUGAAGUAGCUACACUGUGAACUGUAUUGUGACAAAUGCUACAGAUAAGAAAAAAAAAAAAAAGAUCCCAGCACUUGCCUCAGUAGAGCAAAGUCUACUGAGGACACAAAUAAGUAAAUGGAUACUUACAGGAGAGAUUUUUAAAAGGUGAUGAAAACAUGCACAGAGCUGUGAGGGCACAAACAAGGAACACCUAACACAGGAUUUUAGAAUCAGAUAAAGAGAAAUACAAGGAACGAUCACGUGAAUAGAAGAACCAGAAUGGCUAGUGUCCAGAAGGAAUUGUUGGUCAAUAGUCCAUGAUGCCACCAAGAGGCUGAGAAAGAUGAAAACGGAAGCAAAACAACACAAAACAGCAUUAGAGUUGGCAGUCUGUCUGUACUUUAAUGACCUUUGAAAGGGCAGUUUCAGCAGAGUGAUGAAGGCUGAAGUCAGAUUUCAAGGAAUUAACAAUAGUUUAAGGGUGGAAGCUAAACAUCACAAGUACAGUUUAUUUGGAAAAAAUUGAAUGGUAAAAAUAAAAGUAAAGAUGGAAAUAUGAUAGUAACUUGAAAGGACAGUAGAACUGAGCUUAGGAUUUUGGCAUGCCAGUAUUUUUACACUGCAUCAGGGGAGAGAGAGAAAUUGUAUUGCAAGUAGAGGAUAGAUGUUCUAGAAAAAACCUCCUAAAGCAGUGCAGUCUGGAAAAAAAAGAAUAAAGGCAUAAGGGUAAGAGUUGCUAAUGGAGAGACAUUUUGUUCUCUAGGACAGGAACACGGAAACAAACACAAAUGAAGAGAAAAUAGAAUAAUAAUUGUUCAUGGAAAGAAAAGAAUUUGA